rnacentral:rRNA from 1 species
UACGAAGGGGGCUAGCGUUGCUCGGAAUCACUGGGCGUAAAGCGCACGUAGGCGGAUUGCUAAGUCAGGGGUGAAAUCCUGGAGCUCAACUCCAGAACUGCCUUUGAUACUGGCGACCUUGAGUCCGGGAGAGGUGAGUGGAACUGCGAGUGUAGAGGUGAAAUUCGUAGAUAUUCGCAAGAACACCAGUGGCGAAGGCGGCUCACUGGCCCGGUACUGACGCUGAGGUGCGAAAAGCGUGGGGGAGCAAACAGG